UUUCCGUAGGUGAACCUGCGGAAGGAUCAUUAAUGAGUUGUCAUGGGGUUCGAUGCUGGCAGCCAGUUUUUGGAUGCAUGUGCUUGCCCUAACGAUCAUCUUCUUCCAAACACCUGUGCACAUUUUUGAGGGAGUCUUGAGUUGGUUGCCGCUCUUGGGUGAUUUUCUCACAUUCCCUUAAAUCAUUAUACGCUAUUAACAAUGUUGAACGUGCUCUGUGCCGCAAGGCCAUUAAUAUAAUACAACUUUUAACAACGGAUCUCUUGGCUCUC
rnacentral:misc_RNA from 1 species